rnacentral:rRNA from 1 species
UACAGAGGGGGCAAGCGUUGUUCGGAAUUACUGGGCGUAAAGGGCGCGUAGGCGGCCUGUUAAGUCGAACGUGAAAUCCCCGGGCUCAACCCGGGAACUGCGUCCGAUACUGGCAGGCUUGAAUCCGGGAGAGGGAUGCGGAAUUCCAGGUGUAGCGGUGAAAUGCGUAGAUAUCAGGAGGAACACCUAUAGCGAAGGCAGCUUGCUGGGACGUUACUGACGCUAAGGCGCGAAAGCGUGGGGAGCGAACAGG